UACGUAGGGUGCAAGCGUUGCCCGGAUUUAUUGGGCGUAAAGGGCGCGCAGGCGGCCGAGCACGUCCGUUGUGAAAUCGCCUGGCUCAACUGGGCGGGUCAGCGGAUACGGCUAGGCUGGAGCAAGCUAGGGGGCAAUGGAAUUCCCGGUGUAGUGGUGGAAUGCGUAGAUAUCAGGAGGAACACCGGUGGCGAAGGCGGCUUACCUGGGACUA
rnacentral:rRNA from 1 species